GGUCCUACGGGGGGCAGCAGUGGGGAAUAUUGGGCAAUGGGCGCAAGCCUGACCCAGCAAUGCCGCGUGAAGGAAGAAGGCCCUCGGGUUGUAAACUUCUUUUAUCAGGGACGAAGGAUGUGACGGUACCUGAUGAAUAAGCCACGGCUAACUACGUGCCAGCAGCCGCGGCAAUACGUAGGUGGCAAGCGUUGUCCGGAUUUACUGGGUGUAAAGGGCGUGUAGCCGGGUUGACAAGUCAGAUGUGAAAUCCUGCGGCUUAACCGCAGAACUGCAUUUGAAACUGUUGAUCUUGAGUACUGGAG
rnacentral:rRNA from 1 species